GAAAAAAACCAAGUGAUGUACACUGUCACUCACAGAAACUCUAAGUCAACAAGUACAGAGACGCAGAGUGAAAAACCCAAGCCCUUUAAAGAGGCUUGUACGUUCUUGUGAGAGAGCAGGCCGGUCUUUCUCGGCGAGACAAAGGUGCGGGACAGUUUAUUAGUUCAAGGCUGAGCUCCCCGGCUGCCACUGCCGGCGCCUCUUCAAGGCCAGCUCCCGGCCCUUGCCGGUCCUUCAGAUUUAAUGUUGCCAUUUUACUCUGGAAUCUGGUUAAAAUGAAUAACCCCUUUGGAGAACAACAGAAGUCGUCUUUGCUCUGCCAUCUUUCACCACUUCCAGAGUUUUCAUGCAAGAUGCCUCCAGUUCCUCUGCUCAAAGGUCUGAGUGUCUCCUGCGAGAGGCGUGGUAACCUGAGGCCCUUCUAGAAGGAGGGUCAGUGGGCUGCUUCCGGUCCCCCGCUGUCCUGCCCCACUGUGCGUCUCACAGCGUUGUCUGCUCUAGCGGCCGGCUGGGACCUCCUCCCCUUUCCUACUGCUCUGUUGAACAUCAUCUGGGACUUCAGUUCAAGGGUUUGUUUGUUUUCACGCUGUACUCCUGCUUCCUCCAAGGAGCAUCUGUGGUCCAUGGAGAAGCUUCAGUUUACCACUGUUCUUAUGAGUUCACAGCCAACCUCGAAACAACCGGAGAAGGACUUUUCGGAACUUUGUCAGGGGCCUGCUUUUCUGUCAUCUCCUGCCUCAUCUGAGCGGUCCAGAGACCUCCAAGCAAAGCCAUGGUGACUGCUCCCCCAUUGCGCAGGACUCCGUUCGGUUUCAGAGGCAGAUGUCUGGAGAGCAAAGACACAGAGUUGUUGUCAGCGGCCCCAGAGGCGGGCGUCAGCGAGCGUUGUCUCAGCAGAA
rnacentral:lncRNA from 1 species